rnacentral:rRNA from 1 species
GGCCUUGACAUGCAGAGAACUUUCCAGAGAUGGAUUGGUGCCUUCGGGAACUCUGACACAGGUGCUGCAUGGCUGUCGUCAGCUCGUGUCGUGAGAUGUUGGGUUAAGUCCCGUAACGAGCGCAACCCUUGUCCUUAGUUACCAGCACGUUAUGGUGGGCACUCUAAGGAGACUGCCGGUGACAAACCGGAGGAAGGUGGGGAUGACGUCAAGUCACCAUGGCCCUUACGGCCUGGGCUACACACGUGCUACAAUGGUCGGUACAAAGGGUUGCCAAGCCGCGAGGUGGAGCUAAUCCCAUAAAACCGAUCGUAGUCCGGAUCGCAGUCUGCAACUCGACUGCGUGGAGUCGGAAUCGCUAGUAAUCGUGAAUCAGAAUGUCACGGUGAAUACGUUCCCGGGUCUU